AAGGCUAAAUACUCCUGACUGACCGAUAGUGAACCAGUACCGUGAGGGAAAGGCGAAAAGAACCCCGGCGAGGGGAGUGAAAAAGAACCUGAAACCGUGUACGUACAAGCAGUGGGAGCACGCUUAGGCGUGUGACUGCGUACCUUUUGUAUAAUGGGUCAGCGACUUAUAUUCUGUAGCAAGGUUAACCGAAUAGGGGAGCCGAAGGGAAACCGAGUCUUAACUGGGCGUUAAGUUGCAGGGUAUAGACCCGAAACCCGGUGAUCUAGCCAUGGGCAGGUUGAAGGUUGGGUAACACUAACUGGAGGACCGAACCGACUAAUGUUGAAAAAUUAGCGGAUGACUUGUGGCUGGGGGUGAAAGGCCAAUCAAACCGGGAGAUAGCUGGUUCUCCCCGAAAGCUAUUUAGGUAGCGCCUCGUGAAUUCAUCUCCGGGGGUAGAGCACUGUUUCGGCAAGGGGGUCAUCCCGA
rnacentral:rRNA from 1 species